rnacentral:rRNA from 1 species
GAUGAACGCUAGCGGCAGGCUUAAUACAUGCAAGUUGAGGGGCAGCAUGAUAUACGCGAGUAUAUUGAUGGCGACCGGCGGACGGGUGAGUAAUAGGUAGGAGACCUACCUCAUACAGGGGGAUAGCAUAGAGAAAUCUGUGGUAAUACCCCAUGAGGUUAUAUGAAUAGAGGCAUAUAAUCAAAGCAUAAGCGAUUAUGCGGUAUGAGAGGGGCCUACUGACCAUUAGCUAGUUGGUGAGGUAAGGGCUCACCAAGGCGAAGAUGGUUAGGGGUUUUGAGAGAGAGACCCCCCACAUUGGAACUGAGAGACGGUCCAGACUCCUACGGGAGGCAGCAGUAGGGAAUAUUGGGCAAUGGGCGAAAGCCUGACCCAGCCAUGCCGCGUGAAGGAAGACGGCCUUAUGGGUGUAAACUCUUUACUACGCGAAUAGAGGUUAGUACGAGAUACUAAUAGGAAGGUAGUGUAGUAAAAGCACCGGCUAAUCCGUGCC